GGCCACCAGCCGCCUCUCCGGCUCCGAGCCCCAAAGGACCCCUGGCAGCCGCGCAAAGCCGGCCGGAAGACAGCCGCACCGCCCCUCCCGGUCCAGGCCCAGCCUGCCUGGCCAAGGAUCAAAGAGACAGGGCCUUGCUUCUCAGCGCUCAGAUUCUAUCAGCGUCCUGCCAGCGAGGCUUCUGGGUCUUCCAGCUCCCGAUUGGGAUGCCCAUUUUUUUCUCCCUCCCCGGAGCUGAGGGACUUGGCCAUUAGUGCUCAGCUUGGCAAUAGAGAUGCGGUGCAGAUCCCGCCCUUGACGCCUCUCCAGUCUUCCUUCCGCAGGUGCCAGCUUGCUGCUGAUUUUGACCCCAUCCUCUCAAGACUGGGGGCAGGGCAAGGACUCCAGCAGAAAGAGACAGGAGAGGAAAGGUCCCGGGGUGAGGCCUCCCUGACCUCAGCUCCAAGGUUGUCUGGGGUGGACCACCUUUCUGAGAAAGUUGCAGAGAAAUUAACAUCAUCUUAAGCCAUCUUAAGGCACUGUGGAUCCUCCCAUGUUUAUGGGCGACUCCAGUUCAGGCAAAGUUGCUUCCAUGCUGGCUGGCAGACUAUGAGGUCCCAACUGACACAGGCCAUUGGGGAUCGAAUUUCUCUAUAUCCAAGAAGUCAAGGAAGGGGAGAUGAGAUCUCACCCCCCACCCCUGCAGGGUUCAGAGGGCCUGUUACCACUAUUUCCCACAGGCCAGAUCCCACACUGGAUUCCCAACAAAUGGACCUGGAAUUCACUCAUCAGAAGGAAUGAUCUGGGUCAGAGUCAGCAAGGUACCCAAGAAUGACCCCCACUCGUUCAGCUCCCACUCGUUCUGAAUACUGGGCUUGCAGACAUACACCACCACUUUUAUGUGGUACUGGGAAUGAACCCAGGACUUCAUGCUUGCUGGGCAAGAAGUUUAUCAACUCUCCUGGAUUUCCACCAGUCCUAGUUAGGGUUUCUGUUGCUGAGAUGAAACACCAUGACUGAAGCAAGUUGAGGAGGAAAGGGUUUAUUUGGCUUACACUUCCAUAUCACAGUCUAUCACUGAAGGAAGUCAGGACAGGAACUCAAGCAGGGCAGGAUCCUAGAGACAGGAGCUAAUGCAGAGGGCAUGGGAAGGGGCUGCUCACUGGCUUGCUCGUUAUGGCUGGCUCAGCCUGAUUUGUUAUAGAACUCAAAUAUCACCAGCCUAGGGAUGGCCUCACUCACAAUGGGCUGGGCCCUCACCCGUCAAUCACUAAUUAAU